UAUACUCCAUAUAAUUCUUCUUCCCCUCAGCUAUACAAAAAACAAUGGUUUUUUUUUUUCUUCUCAUUUUGCUUCAUCAGUGCCUAUGCCUACUACUACAGGGCUAGGAGAUACCACGAUCCUCACCUCAGAGCUGAUAUGCCGCCACCCCGCAGGGCGCCACGCCGUGGAUCACCAAAGAGGCGCGCACCACCUCACGAUUGAGCGGCGCCACAAAAGUGAAGUAGAGAAGCAAUAUAAUACAAAUAAAUAAGCAGCCCUUUAAUUAAUUUGCAGACUACUUCACAGGAAAGAUUUACUAUUAAUCAUUAUGAAGUAUUAAAACUAUUUCCAGUUCAUCCAUCUAUCUAUCUGCACUUAAUUUAUAUAUAAUAUAUUUAUGCAUAUGCAUGUGGUGUUGUACUUUGUGGAAAAGUAAACGAAUGUAAUCG